rnacentral:rRNA from 1 species
UACGUAGGGAGCAAGCGUUAUCCGGAAUUAUUGGGUGUAAAGGGUGCGUAGACGGGAUAACAAGUUAGUUGUGAAACCCCUCGGCUCAACUGAGGAACUGCAACUAAAACUAUUAUUCCUGAGUGCAGGAGAGGAAAGUGGAAUUCCUAGUGUAGCGGUGAAAUGCGUAGAUAUUAGGAAGAACACCGGUGGCGAAGGCGACUUUCUGGACUGUAACUGACGUUGAGGCACGAAAGUGUGGGGAGCAAACAGG